rnacentral:rRNA from 1 species
UACGUAGGGGCCUAGCGUUGUCCGGAUUUAUUGGGCGUAAAGCGCACGUAGGCGGCGCUGCAAGUCGGACGUGAAAUCCCUCGGCUCAACCGAGGACGUGCAUCCGAAACUGCAGUGCUCGAGUAUGGAAGAGGGUCGCGGAAUUCUCGGUGUAGAGGUGAAAUUCGUAGAUAUCGGGAGGAACACCAGUGGCGAAGGCGGCGACCUGGGCCAAUACUGACGCUGAGGUGCGAAAGCGUGGGGAGCAAACAGG